AGAAGAGACGCAGCGGUUUGCUUGUUCGCCAGGCAGCGAAGAGACGAAGCGGUUUGCUUGUUCGCCAGGCAGUGCACAGAUU
rnacentral:lncRNA from 1 species